rnacentral:rRNA from 1 species
ACCUACGGGGGGCAGCAGUGAGGAAUAUUGGUCAAUGGACGAGAGUCUGAACCAGCCAAGUAGCGUGAAGGAUGACUGCCCUAUGGGUUGUAAACUUCUUUUAUAUGGGAAUAAAAUGUUCCACGUGUGGGAUUUUGUAUGUACCAUAUGAAUAAGGAUCGGCUAACUCCGUGCCAGCAGCCGCGGUAAUACGGAGGAUCCGAGCGUUAUCCGGAAUUACUGGGUGUAAAGGGAGCGCAGGCGGGAAGCCAAGUCAGCUGUGAAAACUACGGGCUUAACCUGUAGAC